rnacentral:rRNA from 1 species
UACAGAGGUCUCAAGCGUUUGUUCGGAUUCAUUGGGCGUAAAGGGUGCGUAGGCGGCGCGGUAAGUCGGGUGUGAAAUCUCGGAGCUUAACUCCGAAACUGCAUUCGAUACUGCCGUGCUUGAGGACUGGAGAGGAGACUGGAAUUUACGGUGUAGCGGUGAAAUGCGUAGAUAUCGUAAGGAAGACCAGUGGCGAAGGCGGGUCUCUGGACAGUUCCUGACGCUGAGGCACGAAAGCCAGGGUAGCGAACGGG